UACGGAGGGGGCUAGCGUUGUUCGGAAUUACUGGGCGUAAAGCGCGCGUAGGCGGACCUGCAAGUCGGGGGUGAAAGCCCGAGGCUCAACCUCGGAACUGCCUUCGAUACUGCGGGUCUCGAGUCCGGGAGAGGUGAGUGGAAUUCCUAGUGUAGAGGUGAAAUUCGCAGAUAUCAGGAGGAACACCGAUUGCGAAGGCAGCUCGCUGGGACGUUACUGACGCUGAGACGCGAAAGCGUGGGGAGCAAACAGG
rnacentral:rRNA from 1 species